rnacentral:rRNA from 1 species
CCUACGGGUGGCAGCAGUGGGGAAUAUUGGACAAUGGGCGAAAGCCUGAUCCAGCCAUGCCGCGUGUGUGAAGAAGGCCUUCGGGUUGUAAAGCACUUUCAGUGGGGAAGAAAGCCUUGGGGCUAAUACCCUCGAGGAAGGACAUCACCCACAGAAGAAGCACCGGCUAACUCCGUGCCAGCAGCCGCGGUAAUACGGAGGGUGCGAGCGUUAAUCGGAAUUACUGGGCGUAAAGCGCGCGUAGGCGGUCUGAUAAGCCGGUUGUGAAAGCCCCGGGCUCAACCUGGGAACGGCAUCCGGAACUGUCAGGCUAGAGUGCAGGAGAGGAAGGUAGAAUUCCCGGUGUAGCGGUGAAAUGCGUAGAGAUCGGGAGGAAUACCAGUGGCGAAGGCGGCCUCCUGGACUGACACUGACGCUGAGGUGCGAAAGCGUGGGUAGCAAACAGGAUUAGAUACCCUUGUAGUC